CGAACGCUGGCGGCGUGCCUAAUACAUGCAAGUAGAACGCUGAAGGAGGAGCUUGCUCUUCUGGAUGAGUUGCGAACGGGUGAGUAACGCGUAGGUAACCUGCCUGGUAGCGGGGGAUAACUAUUGGAAACGAUAGCUAAUACCGCAUAAGAGUAGAUGUUGCAUGACAUUUGCUUAAAAGGUGCAAUUGCAUCACUACCAGAUGGACCUGCGUUGUAUUAGCUAGUUGGUGGGGUAACGGCUUACCAAGGCGACGAUACAUAGCCGACCUGAGAGGGUGAUCGGCCACACUGGGACUGAGACACGGCCCAGACUCCUACGGGAGGCAGCAGUAGGGAAUCUUCGGCAAUGGACGGAAGUCUGACCGAGCAACGCCGCGUGAGUGAAGAAGGUUUUCGGAUCGUAAAGCUCUGUUGUAAGAGAAGAACGAGUGUGAGAGUGGAAAGUUCACACUGUGACGGUAUCUUACCAGAAAGGGACGGCUAACUACGUG
rnacentral:rRNA from 1 species